rnacentral:lncRNA from 1 species
UCAAGAGGAUUCUUGGUAAUUCUCUAAUUGUGCUUCUAAUUGCUUUCUAAUUAUCUUUGUUCUUUAAUAUUAUGAAUAUGACUACUUCAAUAUAUUGCUUAUGACUUUGCUCUACUUGCUUAUAUUCAAGAUUAUAUUGUUCUUAGUUUAUCAUAGUUAUGUACUUGGCUUAGUUAGAUUGGAUCUAUAUACAUGCUUAGGAUCGUAUAGCGCUUAUCCAUCGGAUCCAUGGGUAAAUGAUAGAUAUUGUGU